AGUGGCGAACGGGUGAGUAACACGUGAGCAAUCUGCCCUUGACUCUGGGAUAACUGCGGGAAACUGUAGCUAAUACCGGAUACGAGGCUCGAAGGCAUCUUCGGGUCUGGAAAGAAUUUCGGUCAAGGAUGAGCUCGCGGCCUAUCAGCUAGUUGGUGAGGUAAUGGCUCACCAAGGCGACGACGGGUAGCCGGCCUGAGAGGGUGACCGGCCACACUGGGACUGAGACACGGCCCAGACUCCUACGGGAGGCAGCAGUGGGGAAUAUUGCACAAUGGGCGAAAGCCUGAUGCAGCAACGCCGCGUGAGGGAUGAAGGCCUUCGGGUUGUAAACCUCUUUUAGCAGGGAAGAAGCGAAAGUGACGGUACCUGCAGAAAAAGCACCGGCUAACUACGUGCCAGCAGCCGCGGUAAUACGUAGGGUGCAAGCGUUGUCCGGAAUUAUUGGGCGUAAAGAGCUCGUAGGCGGUUUGUCGCGUCUGCUGUGAAAACCUGAGGCUCAACCUCAGACCUGCAGUGGGUACGGGCAAGCUAGAGUGCGGUAGGGGAGAUGGGAAUUCCUGGUGUAGCGGUGGAAUGCGCAGAUAUCAGGAGGAACACCGAUGGCGAAGGCACAUCUCUGGGCCGUAACUGACGCUGAGGAGCGAAAGCGUGGGGAGCGAACAGGAUUAGAUACCCUGGUAGUCCACGCCGUAAACGGUGGGUGCUAGU
rnacentral:rRNA from 1 species